AUUGAACGCUGGCGGCAGGCCUAACACAUGCAAGUCGAGCGGCAGCGGGAGAGUAGCUUGCUACUUUUGCCGGCGAGCGGCGGACGGGUGAGUAAUGCCUGGGAAAUUGCCCAGUCGAGGGGGAUAACAGUUGGAAACGACUGCUAAUACCGCAUACGCCCUACGGGGGAAAGCAGGGGACCUUCGGGCCUUGCGCGAUUGGAUAUGCCCAGGUGGGAUUAGCUAGUUGGUGAGGUAAUGGCUCACCAAGGCGACGAUCCCUAGCUGGUCCGAGAGGAUGAUCAGCCACACUGGAACUGGGACACGGUCCAGACUCCGACGGGAGGCAGCAGUGGGGAAUAUUGCACAAUGGGUGAAACCCUGAUGCAGCCAUGCCGCGUGUGUGAAGAAGGCCUUCGGGUUGUAAAGCACUUUCAGCGAGGAGGAAAGGUUGAUGCCUAAUACGUAUCAACUGUGACGUUACUCGCAGAAGAAGCACCGGCUAACUCCGUGCCAGCCGCCGCCGUAA
rnacentral:rRNA from 1 species